CCAGUUAUGCAGGGGUGCCUUGUACCGCUUCGGUGCGGGGCUGAGAAAAUACCCUUAUGACCUGAACAGGAUUAUACCUGCGUAGGAAGCGAUAGAAAAAUAUUC
rnacentral:ncRNA from 2 species